AUUGAACGCUGGCGGCAGGCCUAACACAUGCAAGUCGAACGAGUGGCGGACGGGUGAGUAAUGUCUGGGAAACUGCCUGUUGGAGGGGGGUCACUACUGGAAACGGUAUCUAAUACCGCAUUCCAUACUAUGUGCCCAUUGGGGAUUAGCUUGUUGGUGGGGUAACGGCUCACCAAGGCGACGAUCCCUAGCUGGGCUGAGAGGAUGACCGGCAACACUGGAACGGAGACACGGUCCAGACUCCGACGGGAGGCAGCAGUGGGGAAUAUUGCACAAUGGGCGCAAGCCUGAUGCAGCCAUGCCGCGUGUAGGAAGAAGGCCUUCGGGUUGUAAAGUACGUUCAGCGGGGAGGCGUUACCCGUAGAAGAAGUACCGGCUAACUCCGUUCCAGCCGCCGCGGUAAUCC
rnacentral:rRNA from 1 species